AUGCAUGUGCUUUCCUUGUCACAAGUCAACAUUGUUCCUAAAGACUCGUCAGCAUUGCAGGAUUCAGCUGUCUGCAGUCUUAUCAGCCUGCGGAAGCUUUGCAAGAUGAUUGAGGGGAGGAGGCAUUCGGUUGAUAUCCCGAUUUCGAGGGCUCUGGUCGCUGUCAUGAGGUCCAGAUCUCUGAGGGACCCAGACACCAACUCGCUGGCCAAGUUCUCGGCCAAGAAGACCAUCUGGGAGGGGUGUUCCCUCGAGGAAGAUGACGUGGAGGCAAGCAAUUACGGCAGGCACAGCUUCAGCUACAACAUGUAUGAUCAUGUCCAGAGGAGGAGGGAGGAGUUUGGCGGCCGCCUCGCCAACUCUCCGAUCAACAUAAUCAAGGCCAACGCGCGGGUGAAGGCGGCGCUUCAUAACCAGAACUGCUGCUCUGCGAUCCCCGGGAUGUCGAGAGCUGCCAAGGACAGGGCUUUCUCUCUGGUGAUUGAAGGGGAAGAGCUCGGCCGGAGUGAGCCCCAGGAAGGCGCAAGAAGCUUGCUCCAGAAGUACCGGCCAAAGUCUUUCUCUGAGCUGGCUGGACAGAAUGUUGUUGCACAGUCUCUUUCAAACGCUGUUUCUCAAGGAAAGCUUGCUCCAAUCUAUCUCCUCCACGGCCCGCACGGCAUUGGCAAGACAUCCGCGGCUAGGGUAUUUGCAGCGGCGCUGAAUUGCCUCUCUCCAGGUGGGAACCAACCUUGUGGGCACUGCGAGGAAUGCGUGGCCAUAUUCUCAGGAAACAGCAACAGUGUGGUAGAGGUUGAUGCUUCCAAACUGGAUUGCAAAUCUAGAGUUGCUGUCUUGCUCAGGAAUGCCUGUGAAAUUCCUGCUUCUUCGCACUUCAAGGUACUUAUUGUAGAUGAUUGCCAACAUAUGGAUAAGGAGGGAUGGUACUCCAUCUACAGUAGCCUUGAAGGGAUCCCUGCAAGCUCAAUAUUUGUCAUGAUAACAUCCGACAUCGAUAAACUACCAAGCAACUCCGCUGGAUGGUGCCAGAGCUAUAGGUUUUGCAAGAUAGAUGAUGCAGAUAUUGUCCGCCGGUUGAGCAAGAUUUGCACAAAAGAAGGUAUGGAGUUCGAAGCCGAAGCGCUGGAGCUUCUUGCUCGCAAGGCAAGUGGUUCCAUUCGGGAUGCAGUUCAAAUGCUUGACCAAUUAACUCUGCUCGGAAAAAGGAUCAGCAAAUCAGUAACAUACGACCUAAUAGGUGAUGUCUCAGAUGAAGAGUUGCUUGAUCUUCUUAAUCUGUCUAUGUCAUCAGAUGCUGCUACCAUUGUUCGGAGGGCUAGGGAGCUUUUGAGUUCAAAGGUCGAUCCCAUGCAGCUAUUGGCUCAGCUUGCAAAUCUUAUCAUGGAUAUUUUAGCUGCGAAGCAACCCUCAGAUUCUUCAGAAGUUAGGAAAGUUACUGGCAAAAAUACAUCUGCUGAUGUGGACGUGCACAAACUUAGGAAUGCGCUGGAAAUACUUUCUGAAACCGAAAAGCAAUUGAAAACCACGAAGAACCAGUCCACUUGGCUCACCGCCGCUCUGUUACAGUUCAAUAUGAGAGAGCCUUACUGCCUAGAAGCCCUAGAUGAUACUGCAGUUUCAAGCAUGUUCACAGAGAGUCAAACAGACGACGGGGCUGCUGCCCUGAAAGAUGAAAGCUUAGAGACCAGUUCUCAUCUGUGCUACCAGAACAAACUUGGAUGUCUGGAUAUGAAUUUAGGAGAUCCAGAUGUACUGGAGACGAUAUGGAUGAAGGCUCUUGAAAACUGCACAUCUAAGUCACUUCAUAAUCUGUUGCAGAAAGAUGGAAAGUUGUCAUCCCUGUACACAACCCAAGGUGUGGCAGUUGCCGAGUUACAAUUCUGUCAUCCUGAGGAGGUACCAACAUCAGAGAGCUUCUGGAUGCCACUUGUGGUUUCUCUGCAGAAUUUGCUCAAGUGCAACGUGGACAUCAGGAUCAAUCUUUCUCCAAUCUCCAUCAGCAAUAGGACUGUUUCCAAGAAUUCGUCGGUCAGCCUGGUCAUGCAAUCCAGAGAAGAUCAACAGACGCAGAAUCCAGUCGCCACGGACUGCAGAACCGUAGCUUCAUCCAGAAGGGAGUGCCCUUCGCCACCGCUCCCAGGACAACAGCCCAAGGAGAAAGCAUCUCACAUCCUGGGAUGCCUUCACGGUGCAGAUAGCGAUGCAGGAGAUGCGGAGUCGAGGAUCCUGAGCUACCAGAAGAUCUCUGUCAUUCCUGAAGCAUCCACUACAGGGAAUGUCGCCUCAAGAGCUGGAGAGCGCAUGCCAAAGGUCGACGAAGUCAAAGGUCGUCGCCGCGGUGUCUGUUUCUCUGAGAUUCUACCGUGUGGUGCGUGCGCACCCUCUCGGAAGUCCCAACCGCACGACAAGCACAGAGCUCCGCGGCCUCGCAAGGGACUCUUCAGCUGCUGUUUCUGCAAGAUCAGGCCAGACUGCAGAACGAGAGCUGACGCUGUGUACAGGUCCGAAACCUAG
rnacentral:rRNA from 1 species